UACGGAGGGAGCUAGCGUUGUUCGGAAUUACUGGGCGUAAAGCGCACGUAGGCGGCUUUGUAAGUUAGAGGUGAAAGCCCGGGGCUCAACCCCGGAACUGCCUUUGAUACUGCAUGGCUUGAAUCCAGGAGAGGUGAGUGGAAUUCCGAGUGUAGAGGUGAAAUUCGUAGAUAUUCGGAAGAACACCAGUGGCGAAGGCGACUCGCUGGACGACGAUUGACGCUGAGGUGCGAAAGCGUGGGGAGCAAACAGG
rnacentral:rRNA from 1 species